rnacentral:lncRNA from 11 species
AUUUUAUUCAGCUGUGUGGAAGGGGCCCUAGAGUCCUAGUUUAACACUCAAACCAAUGCACCAUGCAGGCUCUCUAUAUAGUGUUGCCUCUCUGGUGUUUUGCAUUCCUCUGCAUCCAUGGUUUGAAAAAGAAAACCCAAGCCUUGCCAAGCUCUACUGGCCUGCUGCCCACAGUGCCCUCCUCCUGCUGAGCCGUAACAAGUCGUGCAGCCCAAGAGUGCGGCCAUGAUCAGCCCCAGAAGCGGCUCAAGUCGUUUGGACGCCAGCUGUGCCUCCAGAGCCGACGCUCCCCUUGCAGCUGCACACUUCCCCCCUCUUCUCUGCAACUGGUUGCUACACUCAGGACACACAAAUGGCUACUGUGCCAGACUAUUAUAAGCUUUUAGAGAUUCCACGGGAUGCCUCUGACAAUGAUAUUAAAAAAGCGUAAGGUUUUUAAAAAAAAUCCUAGCUCUCAAUAAUAGGUUUCUCCCCUGAACCUGUUUUUAAUUUGUGUCUCAGGGUGCAUCUACACUGUAGAAUUAAUGCAGUUUGCCUGUCUUUCCACAGAAAGCUGUUCCAGUUUUAGAUGUGGGCAACCCACUACAGUGUUCCCUCACUUAUCGCGGGGGGUUAGGUUCCAGGACCACCCGUAAUAAGUGAAAAUCCGCAAAGUAGGGAUGCUAUAUUUAUUUUAAUAUUUAUACAUUAUUUUGGUAGUUAUACAAUAUUUUAAGUCUUUAUCAACCAAUUAUGUGUUAAUAAAUCACCUUCUCCUCCUCCCAUUGCCGCUUGGGCUCCUUUUCUCUCCCUUUGGUUUCUCCUUC